ensembl:lncRNA
CUUAAAUUGACAUCUCUCUUUUUGGGGACUUGCAUUUGGCACACUUGGAUUUCCUGGUUGAAAGGGGUACUCUUUUGAAGGAUCCAGCUUGAAGGAGUAUUUUUGAUCAAUGACAUUGAGUUGCAGCCCACUGAAGAAAAUAAAGUCCAACCCCAAGACUACAGCAUAAGCUAGAGCUUGGGAUGAAAGUACAGCAGUAGAUAAAGAGGACCACGGCACCACGGUUGCAGCUGGUCGGGGGAUGUUAGCUGCCUCAUGAGAUUCUCAUGGAUGAGUGUGUAGCUUGCACCAGUGUCCACAAUGGCUUUACCUGACCAGGCAUCGAUACAAAGGGGAACAACUAGUUGUUGAGCAACAGAGUUGUUGGACGGAUGACCACCUGACUUGGGG